CACACUGUGGUUUAGUGGUUAGAACAUUCGCCUCACGCCUCCGGGGUUGGGGGUUCAAUUCCUGCCUGUGUGU